AAGCGCUCGAACAAUAUAAAUACGUAUACGUAUAAAAAAACAAUUUUUACAUUGCAAGCAUAAUCAACAAGUGCUAGGAUGCAAUCCUUUUUCUACGUGAUUAGGACAAGUUAAUAAUAUUUAGUUUUCUUAACAAUAAAUCAUAGUUUCAAAAUUGAAAUUAAGAUUAUUAUCAUAUCUCUUUUAAUUUUUGUUCUGGAGAUAAAAAAGAAAUUAUCACUUGUUCGUGAUGGAUUUUGAGGUAUACUCUUCUAUCGAUGUAUGAUUUGAGGUCUAUUUUAUAACCAUAAAAUUGACCUUCUAUCUGCGAUGUUCAUAUUUAGUGCUUAUGUUGCAAAUACACGGUAGUUUUCGUAAAAACUUCACGUACGGCAAUUGAAGUGAAAUUUUGUGAAUGUAGAUACGUAUAAUUAUAAUAUAUAUGUGUUCAUGUACUGAAUUAUCCUUGUAUACAUAUAGUUACCAGAAAAUCUGAAAGAAGAUAAAAGGAAGAAGUGAGACAAAGAACAUGAGUACAUAUACAUUGUAUGAUUGCACAUAAGGAUGUGAGUGAUCUAAUGAGAUAAUUAAGACUGGUAUAGCAACAAAAGUAGUUUAUUGAAUAUUAUGUACGAAUCCUGAAUGAUGUAAUGACACCACGUGACUCGCAACGUGGAUGUUGAACAUUGGCAUUUCACCUUAUAUUCUUUUUUGUGAGGAUUUGUUAUACACCUUCUGUCUCUUAUUACGCUACAAAAUGUCCCAUCUAUAAAUCAGAGAUGUGUAUGCAAAAUAACAGAUAUAUGAUAUACUUUUAAAACUUUUUUUUUUUUUUAAUUGCAAAUACCAAAAAAUAAAGACGCAAGAUAUCUCGUUCAUAGCAUAUGAUAUUGCGUCGUGAAAUAUCUCGUUUAUGAAAGCUUUCGGUAUAAAUUUGUACACGAAAUAUCUCAUCCGCAAAUGUGAAUAGGUUAAGUCAUUUCUGCGACUUUGUUAUAAUACAAAAUUGUUUCUAAUCAUGAUAUAAAAAAGAAAUAAUGAAUUGUUUCUUGUAUAUUUAAUAUUUUCAAUGUUUAAUAUAAGAAAGCCGUUACUUUUAUGGUGGACUGUACAGUCACACCACACAGCAUGCCAACUGCAAUGGAAAUUUCCACUGAAGCAGUCGAUUGCCACCACCUUGUAGACGCUUUGUAGCCGCGCCUAAAAACGAGAUUACGUCCGCUAGGAGACUAAACCGAAGGCCAUCCUUAUAUUUUCAAUCGAUUAAUUUCAAUUGGCUAGAUUUGCGGUUUUCUGAGGCAUCUAGUAAUUUGACUACAUUCUUUUCAAUAUAAAAUUUAAUUACAAACGUCAACGACCGUUUUCCUUGGAGUAAAUUUGAAUUUUUAAUAUUAUAAGAAUUUUUUUAUGAUAUUUUAUUUAAUUCAUAUCGACUUUGUUUUCCAGAAUGACAGUGUAAUAAAAAUGUUAUAUUACUUGAAUACUUAUGUUACUAUGAAUUACGUACUGUUUGCAUAGCUCUACACAUGUCUCUUUAGUUAGGAUUUAAUCCUGAAGAAUUUGAAAUCCUCUCUAUAGACUAUAUAUACACUAUAUGCACUACAGAUUUUAAAUGUAAUUAUAGUACAAAGUUUCUUUUUUAUUCAAUGACAUAAAAAGCCAGUACUGAUCUAAGAAAUAAAAUUAGAAGAAAAUUUAACAAAUAAUUUUGGGCUAGAAAAAUAAUAUACAUCGUAAUUAAAGUAACGUUCCAUAAAAUCGUUUAUAUGUAAUCAUUGCUUAUUCGUAUCCCUUUCUUAAUAAAAUUUGUGUACAUUACAGUUAAGGUUUCCUGCGCUGUGAUUCGGAGGAGUGCCAUUAUCAGCGUGCAAUGUUUCUAUUCGUGGAAUUUUUGGCGGCAACGGGUAAAUAUAUAAAUAAAAAGUAGAAUUUUAGAUCAAUCUGAAUGUAUAUAAAGAACUGAAUAAAAUAAUACUGUUAAGCACAUAUAUAUAUGGAUUAAUUAAUUGGUAUCAUUCAAUCAUAAACUGGCUGUGAUUGCAAUGGUAGUGACAUAAACACAGUUGCGGUGAUAAGUUGACUUUAUUCAUAGAAUAAGAGCCGUACACUUUGAUCGAAAAUAAACUCCAUCAAGCUGAAUAUGCAAAAACUACUCUAUAUUCUAUAGGAACAUUAAUUUUAUUUUUAACUCUAAUAUAAUUUAUAUGUGAUAGAAUUACGAUCAAAGAUACUAAAGAUGUGCUGCGUUUAAAGUAAAAUCAUUCCACAUCAAAAUGUAGAGCCUCUUAUGCGAACAAAGUUCGAAAGGAAAUUGCGGCGUAACGAGGACAUGAAAUGGCCAUGGAAUGAUGACGCAAAAGGAAAAAACUUGCUUUUGACUUUUCUCUGACGUAGAAUCGUUCAUCUCGAUGAGAAAUACGUUAGGAAUUUUAAGCUGAAAAUGUCGCGGCAGACGUCUCAAGAAUAGAACGUCAUAUGCGAUCUACGUUAGGAACAUCACUUACUUUUGACAGGAAAUGUACUCGGGGGUCGAGAGGCCUCGCAUGGCCUGGUCCCCUCUCAAGAUAAGAAGGCCUAAGGGGCCCGGUUGGACGUUUGCCAUAGCGUUUGCAAUACUUCCAAGUCUGUGUAUUAGAAACGUACUCUGUUCGAUAAAGCCAGGAUACGAUCAACCACAUGUAACGAAUGUCCUUCCUUCAAAAAGAUUCAUCCUUUAUAAUUUGAGGUUUCGUAUACGAUUCGAGAGUGCGAAAGCAACGAGAGAAUCGCAUACUCCAUUAGAGGUUAUGUUUUAAUUUGAUAUAUCCGAUAACCGUACAGGAUACGAGUCGUAUGCUCUUUUUUGAGAGUAGGAAAGAUAUUUACGCAUGAUUAAGAAAAGAAUUAAUACUCCAAUUAUUAAUAAUUACACGAUCGUCGAGUUUCACCAAACAUUGGAUGAUGUUACAAAGAAAUACGAAAAAUUCAUACGACAUUUUAUAAAAUAUUAAUAAGUCCGUAUCAGUAAACUCUAUAUUAUGCCAAACGAAGAGUAUAGUGAAUACAUGUGUGUAAUUCAUGAUAGAAUAAAUGCCAUUUGUUUCGUUAGCAAGCAAGUAAAUGAGUGAUUUACGUGGAAUGUAAUGCGUAAAUCACGUUAUUGUAUCUACAAUAAAAUAUGUAUAGCUCGGAAACGCAAUUUUUAAUCAGUUCAUUUUAUUCAAUUACAUA